rnacentral:rRNA from 1 species
UGCAGUCGAGCGAACAGAUGAGAAGCUUGCUUCUCUGAUGUUAGCGGCGGACGGGUGAGUAACACGUGGGUAACCUACCUAUAAGACUGGGAUAACUCCGGGAAACCGGGGCUAAUACCGGAUAAUAUUUUGAACCGCAUGGUUCAAUAGUGAAAGACGGUUUCGGCUGUCACUUAUAGAUGGACCCGCGCCGUAUUAGCUAGUUGGUAAGGUAACGGCUUACCAAGGCGACGAUACGUAGCCGACCUGAGAGGGUGAUCGGCCACACUGGAACUGAGACACGGUCCAGACUCCUACGGGAGGCAGCAGUAGGGAAUCUUCCGCAAUGGGCGAAAGCCUGACGGAGCAACGCCGCGUGAGUGAUGAAGGUCUUCGGAUCGUAAAACUCUGUUGUUAGGGAAGAACAAAUUUGUUAGUAACUGAACAAGUCUUGACGGUACCUAACCAGAAAGCCACGGCUAACUACGUGCCAGCAGCCGCGGUAAUACGUAGGUGGCAAGCGUUAUCCGGAAUUAUUGGGCGUAAAGCGCGCGUAGGCGGUUUCUUAAGUCUGAUGUGAAAGCCCACGGCUCAACCGUGGAGGGUCAUUGGAAACUGGGAAACUUGAGUGCAGAAGAGGAGAGUGGAAUUCCAUGUGUAGCGGUGAAAUGCGCAGAGAUAUGGAGGAACACCAGUGGCGAAGGCGGCUCUCUGGUCUGUAACUGACGCUGAUGUGCGAAAGCGUGGGGAUCAAACAGGAUUAGAUACCCUGGUAGUCCACGCCGUAAACGAUGAGUGCUAAGUGUUAGGGGGUUUCCGCCCCUUAGUGCUGCAGCU